GCUGGUGGUGAUGCGCUUAUGGGUCACACCCGUUCCCAUCCCGAACACGAUGGUUAAGCCGUAAGCGGCCGACGGUACUGCACUGGA
rnacentral:rRNA from 1 species